rnacentral:rRNA from 1 species
UAGGGAAUCUUCCGCAAUGGACGAAAGUCUGACGGAGCAACGCCGCGUGAGUGAUGAAGGUUUUCGGAUCGUAAAGCUCUGUUGUUAGGGAAGAACAAGUGCCGUUCAAAUAGGGCGGCACCUUGACGGUACCUAACCAGAAAGCCACGGCUAACUACGUGCCAGCAGCCGCGGUAAUACGUAGGUGGCAAACGUUGUCCGGAAUUAUUGGGCGUAAAGGGCUCGCAGGCGGUUUCUUAAGUCUGAUGUGAAAGCCCCCGGCUCAACCGGGGAGGGUCAUUGGAAACUGGGGAACUUGAGUGCAGAAGAGGAGAGUGGAAUUCCACGUGUAGCGGUGAAAUGCGUAGAGAUGUGGAGGAACACCAGUGGCGAAGGCGACUCUCUGGUCUGUAACUGACGCUGAGGAGCGAAAGCGUGGGGAGCGAACA